UUGCUUUGGCAGCACAGAUACUAAAAUUGGAACAAUACAAAGAAGAUCAGCACGGCCUCUGUGCAAAGGAUGACAUGCAAAUUCGUGAAGCGCUUCAUAUUUUU
rnacentral:snRNA from 1 species